UACGUAGGGUGCGAGCGUUGUCCGGAAUUACUGGGCGUAAAGAGCUCGUAGGCGGUUUGUCGCGUUGUUCGUGAAAUCCCACGGCUUAACUGUGAGCAUGCUUCCGAUACGGGGCAGACUUGAGGUAGUCAGGGGAGAACGGAAUUCCUGGUGUAGCGGUGAAAUGCGCAGAUAUCAGGAGGAACACCGGUGGCGAAGGCGGUUCUCUGGGAAUAUCCUGACGCUGAGGAGCGAAAGUGUGGGGAGCGAACAGG
rnacentral:rRNA from 1 species